AUGGGGCAGAUAUUUCCCCACUUGCCCACUAGCGAGUGGCGUGGGUUGGUGUCUCAGGCUGAGCAGGGAACCUCGCUCCUGAGGUGGGGCACAUUGCUGCGGGCAGAAGGCUGCUGGUGCUGUGCUGGGGCCCUGAAGAAGAUCAGCCGUGUUUGUGGUGGGGCGUGCCUGGGAAUGCUGCGCAACAUUAAUCUUAGGGGCAGGUACUUGUUGAAAUUCCAGUUACGGAGGGAGAUGUCUGAGGCAGAGCCGGGCCUUGCCUUCACAGCUGAAAGAGGCACAGGCGGCGCUGCCUUAGCGAUGGAAAGCAGGCAUUUCACUGUUGAUGUUCCACAGUCAUACGGCUGACGGUUACUAGGGGAUCCUGAAGGAUGUGUUUCCCUGUGACCCUUUUGAGAAGAAAAACUUAGUUGCCGCAGUAACCAAGUUUGGCUUGGAUGCAAUGAUGCAGUAAAUAUCAUAGGUGAGCCUCGCUUGUGGAGGAGGAGAAAGCAGGAGCUGCAUAGGCUGCCUAACUUUUGCAGUCAGCUCAGGAAACAUUUAAAAACUAUCCCAACAAACUGUGUUAGUUAAAUUCAAGGCUUACAUUUCCUGCUGCAGUAAAGUGCUCAGAUUUUAUCCCCCACGUAUUGUGAACCAUUAGGAAAACGGAGAUAGAAAUUAACUGCCUUACUGUUGUAGCAGGAGGCGCGGAGCUCACCCACGGCUCUGUAGCAGCACAGCCCCUUUGCAGAACGGGAUGCAAGUGACUUUUGUUUCAUAGCCUUAGUUUUUGAAAGUGAAGAGAUGCAAAGGAAGAAAAAUACUGACUGAAAAACUUCAUUUUACAUCCACCUUCUUUUCAGUAUUGCUACUUUACAUUAACAACCUUCAGUAUUGUUCCUAACAGAGAGAAUUAUCAACUCUCCUGCAGGAAAUCCUCACACUAAAUACUUUCAAGGUGGGAAACAAACUAAAAGAGCAAGCAAAAAAAUAAUUCAGUAUGAAACCCAGUCACACAGCGUUCGUCUCCAUUCCCUCCAGCUUUAGUUGUCUGAUUUCCAUCUCAUCGAGAACCAGAAACAGUUCUUCACUAGGGUGGGGAAGUGCUGUUCAGAGUGGGAAUUAAGCACUGAAAACAAAUAUAGAGGGCAGAUACUGUGAUGCAUCAUUUUCUUCUUUAGCUUUUUUUCCACAGUUGUUUUUCCUAAAGCACUUGUCUGAAGAAAAUCCAGGUUGCUGUAUGUGGGACCUAUUCUGCUUGAAGCCUGAGCAUCAGCAGGGGAGGACUGAGCAUUCAGACCCACAUCAGGAGUGAGGAGAUGCACCAUGCAUCAGUGCUGGCAGCGCAGCAGCAGAUAGGUAUGCAUCCAGCCCAUGGAGGAGGGUAUGAGUGUACAUUUCUAUGGGAACAAGGUCACUGAAGUAAACUGCACAACUAUUCCUUUGUUACCCCUUUGAAUUAUUUGUCAAGGAGGUAUUGCUAUAAAUAAAACAAAC
rnacentral:lncRNA from 1 species